CCUUGCCAUUAUUUAGCCAUUUAUACUCAUUCAUUGGCCAAGUUUCACAGAAAAUGUGAGGCCGACAGAGUAAUACUUAAGAGUAUCAUUAGAAGAAGAGAAUUUAGAGUUCUAACCAUGAUGUGGCAGAAAAAUCCUUGAAGGGCAACUACUGCGGAGCAGUGGGAAUGCAAGGUGAUUCAGGAAACAGAUGAUCACAUGCAUGUUUCAAGGAGAAAUGAACACUGGGCUACAAUGGUUCCUAAUCAACUCGUGACUUUUCAGUUCUUCAGCCAAUUUAUCCAGAUCUGAGGCACCAAGAACACUAUCUGAAGAAGCUCGUAAAGAACAGAACAUGCUAAAUGCUUAUAAAAAAUA